UAAGAAUAUUCCGCAAUGGACGGAAGUCUGACGGAGCGACGCCGCGUGGAUGACGAAGGCCGAAAGGUUGUAAAGUUCUUUUGCUGGGGAAGAAUAACCGCAGGAGGGAAUGCCUGUGGGAUGACAAGAACCGGCGAAUAAGCCCCGGCCAACUACGUGCCAGCAGCCGCGGUAACACGUAGGGGGCGAGCGUUGUUCGGAAUUACUGGGCGUAAAGGGCAUGUAGGCGGCUUGGAAAGCCUGGCGUGAAAGUCUGCAGCUUAACUGCAGGGGUGCGCUGGGAACUGCUGAGCUUGAGUGACGGAGAGGGAGCUGGAAUUCCUGGUGUAGGGGUGAAAUCUGUAGACAUCAGGAAGAACACCUAUGACGAAGGCAAGCUCCUGGCCGAUGACUGACGCUGAGGUGCGAAAGUGUGGGGAUCAAACA
rnacentral:rRNA from 1 species